AUUGAACGCUGGCGGCAUGCUUUACACAUGCAAGUCGAACGGCAGAGCGGGCUUCGGCCUGGAGGCGAGCGGCGAACGGGUGAGUAAUACAUCGGAAAGUGCCCAGUAGUGGGGGAUAGCUCGGCGAAAGCCGGAUUAAUACCGCAUACGACCUGAGGGGGAAAGCGGGGGAUCUUCGGACCUCGCGCUGUCGGAUCGGCCGAUGGCAGAUUAGCUAGUUGGUGGGGUAAAGGCCUACCAAGGCGACGAUCCGUAGCUGGUCUGAGAGGACGACCAGCCACACUGGGACUGAGACACGGCCCAGACUCCUACGGGAGGCAGCAGUGGGGAAUUUUGGACAAUGGGCGAAAGCCUGAUCCAGCAAUGCCGCGUGUGUGAUGAAGGCCUUCGGGUUGUAAAGCACUUUUGGCGGGAACGAAAAGGACUGUGCUAAUACCACGGUUCGAUGACGGUACCCGCAGAAUAAGCACCGGCUAACUACGUG
rnacentral:rRNA from 1 species